rnacentral:lncRNA from 12 species
AAGCCAGCUGUCAACUAGCUGCAUUCUUAUGCCAGGGUCAAGGUACCAGUCCGGGGCCCCAGCAGGUUGGGAGUACCCGGGACAGGGACAACGCCUGUCGCUUGAGCCACCCCCCCCCCCGCCCCUUCCUGCCAUCGCUGCCGCGCGCUGCGGGGUUCAACCCCGUGGGGAAGCGGUUCGUCCGGGCCGGUGGGUGUAGUGGGAGCGGGGAACGCGGGGGGACGCAGCAGGUGCCGAGAGGCGGCGAGCAGAUGGGGCCUGAGAGGCCAGGCCCGGGCGCGGCGCUGACCUCCCGAGGCGCAGAGGACCCAGAGGCGACCCCGCAGCCUCCCGGUGGCCCCGAUGCGGCCGGCAUCUCCCGUCGCCCUGCACCCCCCUGCCUCCCCGCCGGCCUCCGGAGGCCGGUGCUACGGAACCAGGCUUGGCGCCUCCAGCACAUCUCAACUUUGAGAUAUUUCUGGCAGCAGUGAAUAAUCCCCUCUUCUGUGUGAGACGGUCCACAAAGGGGAUGCAAGGGACAGUAACUUCCCAAGAUGCAGUUACUCUCAGGGAGAGACAAAGGAAAGAAACACAGCCGCAAGUUCUGGGCAGGCAGAAAGCCAGGCCCAGCUGUGCCAAGGUGAGCAAGGUGAGCAAGGUGAGCAAGGUGAGCAAGGUGGGAGGAGCUGGGGCGCAAACAAUCAAUGACCAUUGGGUCUGGAUUUGGAAAGGGACAACAUGAAACUUUCCUCUCGCGACUGGACACUCCACACAGAGAUUCAGAAGAGCUGAUUCUGGUAAGAGUUUCCACCCUUUGCUGGCUCCUGCCAGUUCUUCCAGGAUCCUCUCUGCUGGCUCUGAUAUCUAGCAGUUUCCCCUUGGCCAUUUACCAGAAAAUCCCUCAGUUUUGUCACUGAAGGGCCCACGUGGGGGCCCUUCUUUGAAGGUAUCUAUGGGGGUGUGUGUAAGGCCAUUGACUCGGUGGACUUGUGUUUAUGGGACGGUCCUUUGGGAGUGGGAAAACAAUGCAGAGGAUUAGUGCACCGAACAGAGAACAGAGGGGAGCCGCAGGCUUUCAUUUUAGGUAACUUUUA